GUCUCUGUGGCUCAAUUGGUUAGUGCGUUGGGCUGUUAACCGAAAGGGCGGGUGGUUCAAGCCCACCCAGGGACG